rnacentral:rRNA from 1 species
UCCGUAGGGUCCGAGCGUUGUCCGGAAUUAUUGGGCGUAAAGGGCUCGUAGGCGGUCUGUUGCGUCGGGAGUGAAAACUUACAGCUUAACUGUGAGCGUGCUUCCGAUACGGGCAGACUUGAGGUAUUCAGGGGAGAACGGAAUUCCUGGUGUAGCGGUGAAAUGCGCAGAUAUCAGGAGGAACACCGGUGGCGAAGGCGGUUCUCUGGGAAUAUCCUGACGCUGAGGAGCGAAAGUGUGGGGAGCGAACAGG